UCCCCCACGUUAAUUGCAAUGCAAAGGGAGCUGUUGCAUUACGAAUCCUGCCUGGGCUGUGCUGGGCUCUAAUGAAUGCGCCGAGCCUUUGAUCUGGGUUUUUGGAAGCUCUCCUCCACCCCAGCUUGGGCUAACAUUCUCUCCCUGCUUCCACAUAUUCCCUCACCUGCUGGGAAGCUGCAUGUGACAGUAUAUGAGCAAUCCUCCUGAUGACAUCCAGGCUCCCCUGCUGUACUCCAGACUUGGGAUCCUGCAGUGAUUUAACAUCUUUGUUUGUAAGCUUAGUUUAGGAAAGAUUAAACUGUUCUUUGCAUAAUG